AAUGCGUUUGGGAGGAGCGUGGUUUUGGGCUUGAUGAUGGAAGAACGAGGCGUGGGGUGGAAGCAGGAGGGUGGGAUCCCUCUCUACCCUUAACCUUAAUUGCAGCCCCCCCAGAAGAGGAAGCCCAGAGCUGCCCCCAGACCUCAGCCCUACAGCGGCCGUACCGCUGCGAUGUGUGCCAGCAGGAUUUCACCUUCACCCCCACUGAGAUCCUCCGGCACCGGCGGCAGCACCGCUGAUGGGAGAAACCCUAAAAAGGAUUUGGGACAUCCUCUCUGGUAGAUGAAGACUGGAUCACGUUCGUUAUCGCCGUGCUCGUUAUCAGCCCACGCCACGGGUCGUUAGCGUGGCAUGGGGGGGCUGCGCUGCUAAUUAAACUCAUUUGCUGCUAAUUUGUAGCUCUGCAGCCAGAAGAAUCCUCAUCACUGAACGACGUCGUGACGAUUUUGGGUAACGAUCCGCUGCGAGAACAGAACGCAUUGGGGUUUUAAUUAGUAUCGUUUUGGCUUAAUUAUGCAAAAUUAAGCUUCGCUGGCUGCAGAAUGGGGGAAAAACGGGGAAAUUUGGGUUUUUUUCCUUUAAAAAUAGAUUUAUUUAUUUUUUUC